UACGGAGGGUGCAAGCGUUAAUCGGAAUUACUGGGCGUAAAGCGCACGCAGGUGGCUAAGUCAGUCGGUUGUGAAAGCCCUGGGCUUAACCUGGGAAUUGCAGUCGAUACUACUCAGCUAGAGUAUGGGAGAGGGCAGUGGAAUUCCUGGUGUAGCGGUGAAAUGCGUAGAUAUCAGGAGGAACACCUGUGGUGUAGACAGCUUACUGGACCAUUUCUGACGCUGAGACACGAAAGCGUGGGUAGCAAACAGG
rnacentral:rRNA from 1 species